AUUGAACGCUAGCGGGAUGCCUUACACAUGCAAGUCGAACGGAGUGGCGCACGGGUGAGUAAUGUAUCGGAACGUGCCCCGUAGCGGGGGAUAACUACGCGAACGCGUAGCUAAUACCGCAUACUAUUGGAGCGGCCGAUCUCGGAUUAGCUAGUUGGUGGGGUAACGGCUCACCAAGGCGACGAUCCGUAGCUGGGUUGAGAGGACGACCAGCCACACUGGGACGGGGACACGGCCCAGUCUCCGACGGGAGGCAGCAGUGGGGAAUUUUGGGCAAGGGGGGAAAACCUGUGCCAGCCAUCCCGCGUGUGCGUGGAAGGCCUUCGGGUUGUAAAGCACUUUUGGCAGGAAAGCGGUACCUGCAGAAUAAGCACCGGCUAACUACGUGCCAGCCGCCGCGGUAAUUC
rnacentral:rRNA from 1 species